rnacentral:rRNA from 1 species
CCUACGGGUGGCAGCAGUCGAGAAUCAUUCACAAUGGGGGAAACCCUGAUGGUGCGACGCCGCGUGGGGGAAUGAAGGUCUUCGGAUUGUAAACCCCUGUCAUGUGGGAGCAAAUUAAAAAGAUAGUACCACAAGAGGAAGAGACGGCUAACUCUGUGCCAGCAGCCGCGGUAAUACAGAGGUCUCAAGCGUUGUUCGGAAUCACUGGGCGUAAGGCGUGCGUAGGCUGUGUCGUAAGUCGUGUGUGAAAGGCGCGGGCUCAACCCGCGGACGGCACAUGAUACUGCGAGACUAGAGUAAUGGAGGGGGAACCGGAAUUCUCGGUGUAGCAGUGAAAUGCGUAGAUAUCGAGAGGAACACUCGUGGCGAAGGCGGGUUCCUGGACAUUAACUGACGCUGAGGCACGAAGGCCAGGGGAGCGAAAGGGAUUAGAUACCCCAGUAGUC